UUAGAGAUCUUUUGUUCCACACAGUCCCCGCAGCCAGGCUCCUGGGGUUGUAGGGUUCCUUUAUACAGCUAGGCACACGGGUUUGGCCUUUUUCAUUUAUUUGCACAUUCCCCAUCAGCAGGGAGGGGUGGGGUGAAGUACAGUGAGAGAGAGGAGGGAGACAGGCUGACAGAGGGUAAGGGAGACAGACAACCAGAGGAGUCACUGAAGGGAAGAUCAGAGUACUUGGAUAGAAAGAGGCAGGCUGACUCCAGAGGAGAGACAGGCAACACAAAAACACGGAACAAUGAAGGCCUCAGAGGGAGCUGCAGCCUGGAGGAGCAGCCAGGAGACUCGGAGUCUGAGAUCCUGAAGGAUGAACAGGAGAUAACGGGAAGAGAGCAGACAGAUGCCGAAAGAUGUCAUGUGACCAGUCAUCUCAUGUUCCUGCCACUGACGCUCCACCAUGAUGGACUGUGUCCCCUAAACCAGGAAGUCUAAAGCUAAGCCGCCUCACUGGCUGUGCCAAUUCCGAACAAAUACUCAGAACCCGCGUGUUGAAUCCAAAAUGAAAACAGCUUUAAUGAAUACGAACAGAAAACACAAUGUAUAUCCCAAGAUUAUCCACUUUGCUGAAUAAAAGCAUUUCAAUGAGAAAAUUGUUGCUGCUCUUUAGAUCGUGGACUGUUCCUAGUUGGGCCUUGGAAAAGCAGUGAAGAAGGGAAGAGGUGCUCUCUAAGUUCUCCUGCUCCUUUCCAUUCAGAGGGCAUCAGCAUAAUAAGGCUCACCUGCAGCUGGUAACCUUGCUGCUCUUUGUAGACGUGAAAAUGUGGCCCAGAGAAGUAAAGAGACUCGCCUACAGUCACACAGCAAUUUCACGACAGAGCAAACGUGAGUGGAUUAACUCACUUCAUGGGAUAUUUUCUGGCCAUCCAUUCAUUCUCAGCACCCACAUGCAGCA